UACAGAGGGUGCAAGCGUUAAUCGGAAUUACUGGGCGUAAAGCGUGCGUAGUCGGUUAUCUAAGUCGGGUGUGAAAUCCCCGGGCUCAACCUGGGAAUUGCAUUCGAUACUGGAUAGCUAGAGUUCGGCAGAGGGAAGCGGAAUUUCGGGUGUAGCGGUGAAAUGCGUAGAUAUCUGGAGGAAUACCAGUGGCGAAGGCGGCAUCCUGGACCGACAUUGACGCUGAGGAGCGAAAGCUAGGGGAGCAAACGGG
rnacentral:rRNA from 1 species